CCUACGGGUGGCAGCAGUGGGGAAUAUUGCACAAUGGAGGAAACCCUGAUCCAGCAACGCCGCGUGCGUGAAGGCGCGUUUCGGCGCGUAAAGCUCUGUCAGCGGGGAAGAAGAAAGACGGUACCCGACCAAGAAGCCCCGGCUAACUCCGUGCCAGCAGCCGCGGUAAUACGUAGGGGGCGAGCGUUAUCCGGAUGGACUGGGUGUAAAGGGAGCGUAGGCGGCGAGGUAAGCCUGAAGUGGAAGCCCGCGGCCCAACCGGGGAACUGCUUUGGGAACUGUGUGGCUGGAGUGUGGGAGGGGUAAGCGGAAGUCCUGGUGUAGCGGUGAAAUGCGUAGAUAUCAGGAGGAACACCGGUGGCGAAGGCGGCUUACUGGACCAUAACUGACGUUGAGGCUCGAAAGCGUGGGGAGCGAACAGGAUUAGAUACCCUUGUAGUC
rnacentral:rRNA from 1 species